rnacentral:rRNA from 1 species
AACGAACGCUGGCGGCGUGGAUAAGACAUGCAAGUCGAACGAUCAUUAGCGGGUAGCAAUAUCUGCUAGUGGGAGUGGCGCAAGGGUGCGUAACACGUGGGCAAUCUGCCGUGAAGUUUGGGAUAACUUGCUGAAAGGCGAGCUAAUACCGGAUGUGACAACCUGGGGGCAUCUCUGGGUUGUUAAAGUUGGGGACCGCAAGGCCUGACGCUUCAUGAUGAACCCGCGGCCUAUCAGGCUAGUUGGUGAGGUAACGGCUCACCAAGGCCACGACGGGUAGCUGGUCUGAGAGGAUGAUCAGCCACACUGGAACUGACACACGGUCCAGACUCCUACGGGAGCUG